AACCUUUUUGCUUGCAGAGAAAUGGAUGGAACAAUGUAGAUAUAAGACUACUUACUGAUUAGGUGUUUAGAAGUUUUUUAAAUGAAGAUAUGAAAAACUAGGAAUUGAAUUAAUUUUUCUGCAUGGAACACGAUGGUGUAACUUCCUGGUUGUUGUGUAAUGACAUGUGUUGUACAGGAACAUGAUAGGGAGAAGGAGGACAAAAAUUUAGAACAAAUAGGAAUUUGAAUCCAGGUAUACAGAGCCACUCAAGAAUAUUCUGAACAUUUUUUUUCUGCUUGGGAGAUUUAAAAAAAUAUUCUUAAAUAGCACUUGAUUAAUGUUAUGUAUAUAAAUCAUUCAUUUAUUCAUUUAAUCAAUCAGUACUUAUGAAGUGCUGACCAUGCACCAGAAACUACUAUCAGGUUAGUGAAUGGCCUCUAGGGUUGGGGAUGAAUGAUAUUCAAAAUAGUUAACCAAGUCUGUCUGACCUGGCACUACAGUCUGACUUCACAGGUGCCUACAGGCCUGACAAUAAUACCUAGUCAUCCCUGGUGUGAGCACCCUUGGAGAGGUAGGGAAGAAACCAAGAUGAGUCUGUAUGUUUCUUGCCCUCAAGAAGCUUAUGGUUUAAUAAAGGAAAUAAGCCAAGUAGACACAGAGGUAAAAUACAAAAUAGCCCUUUGACAAACUUUUAUUUUUAGGAAAUUAAUUUCUGUGGUGUAUUCAAGAAAUUAGAUGCUAGACUUAUAUUCAAUCAUCAUCCCCUUCAAUCCUUAAAUCUUCAAUUCAGCACAAUUCAAUCACCUGCCCCAUUCCCAUGCAUUAAACGUCAGGGGUAAUGACAUCAAUCUCUGGGAUAAUAGAACCAUACAUUUGGUAAUGAUUCAGUGUUUGGCCUCCAGGCAGGUAAAGACACAAACC
rnacentral:lncRNA from 1 species